AGUAACGCGUGGGCAACCUGCCUUACACAGGGGGAUAACACUUAGAAAUAGGUGCUAAUACCGCAUAAGCGCACAGCUUUGCAUGAAGCAGUGUGAAAAACUCCGGUGGUGUAAGAUGGACCCGCGUCUGAUUAGCUGGUUGGCAGGGUAAAGGCCUACCAAGGCGACGAUCAGUAGCCGGCCUGAGAGGGUGAACGGCCACAUUGGGACUGAGACACGGCCCAGACUCCUACGGGAGGCAGCAG
rnacentral:rRNA from 1 species